rnacentral:tRNA from 1 species
CGGGCCGUGGCGCAGUUGGUUAGCGCACUAGUCUGGGGGACUAGGGGUCGCCGGUUCGAGUCCGGCCGGCCCGA